AGGUUCGAACCUGCGGGGUCACACACAUUAGAGGUUCCUAUAUGAUCUAAUAGCAGGUGAAGAGUCCUUCAUGUCUGGGAUUCUAUGAUCGAUAAUCAGAAUUCUCUGAUCACAAAUUCCAUACAUUUUGGGUACCGGGGUCAAGAGUCCCACUGGUUUAGGACUCUUCGAUCAGGGUUACAUAUCGAUGAAUUCUGAUGCCCGAUUACCCAUCAAAUUUGGACUCAAUAUUUAUGAGAGAUUU
rnacentral:lncRNA from 1 species